AAAUCAUUAAAAUAGAAAGCAAUUUUUUCAAGUAUCAGAACUUGAUAUGUGUGUGAUAUGUAUUUCAUUUACAUAUAGCAUAUAUUAUUUUAGACAAACAUUACAUAUGAUGCCCUAUGUUGGCUCCUUCUCCUCCUCCUCCUAGGUACAUCCUCUCCUACUGAGGCCAGACAAGACAGACAAGUUUUGGGAACAGGAUCCACAGUAGGCAUCAAAUUCAGGGAGAGCUGCCACUCCAGUUGUUGACAGACCUGCAUGAUGAUGCACUUCUGCUACCUAUGUGCAGGGGGCCUAGGGCCAACCAUGUGUGCCCUUUGAUUGGUGCCUCAGUCUCUGAGAGCCCGCAAGGGUUCAGGUUACAGACCAUCAUCAUCGGAAGCCAAGGCAGGAAGUCAAGGAAGAACCCACAGUCAGGAACUGAAAUAGAACCAUGGAGGGAAGCUGCUAACUGAGUUGAUCCUCGUUGGUCCUCAUGUUUCAGGAGAAUUCUUAUUUUGAAACAACACAGAACUACAAGAAUGGGAGUCCCAUUACCCACAGUGAGAUUUAGAAGUGCUGCUCUAGAAGAAACGGGUUUGUGGACAUAUGCUGCCAUGCCCAGUCAUACACGAGCUCUGGAAAUCUGACCUCAGGGCUUCCUAUUUGUGUGCUUUUAAGCACUGAGACAUCUCCUAGCUGACGUAUUAACAUUCUUAAACAAGAAUAUGAG
rnacentral:lncRNA from 1 species